GCCAUGGGGAAUUUGUGAGCAUCCCCACCGUUGAGAAAUGAUGCCCCCUUUGACCUACAGCUGAGGUCUUCUCUGUCUUUGUGGCUGCAGGAAAGAAGCAAGAAAAUCGUGAAAUGCCUGUAAAGAGAACGUUUCACCAGGGCCACUUCUACCCACUUUUGGAGGGAGAGUGACGUCCUUUGAGAUAUACCUCCGAGUACCACGUUCUGUCUCAGAAUUCCCAUGCUGAGUACUCCAAGGUCACUAGGUUCUGCGCCAGUGAAGCUGACCUCCACAGGGACAGCUUUGCAGGCUUCACUGGCCCCAGGGUGUUCUCUUAUCAAGAUUUUCAUUGGAUGGCUCCUGUCAUUCUGCUGUUUCUAGACCAACACAUAUCAGGCUUCUCCAUAUUGCACGUGUGGCACCUCUGCACUGGCAGUGUGAUUAUAUUGUCUCCUGUGAAUUUCUGUUCUUCUGCCCGAAUCGAGUAGACAGGGUCUCCCAGAAACAGCCUGGCUGUGGAAUGGCUUACUUGUGGAGAGAGGGCUACUCUGGAUUGAUGAUGACAACAACUACCUGAGGACGCUGAGUGUCUCAUAACAAAUGGCAAUCUGAGGUCCAGACGUGUAGCCUUUGUGGAGACGACUAAGAUUCUCACAGCCUGGCAUUGCCUGGGUUCUCCUGCCAGGCAGUUUGUACACACAUUGUUCAGGCUUCUGCUUACAGGGCUGUGAGGCCUCGGCAUCAAUUCUAUGUUCACGGACCGAGAAUGCUGGCCUUUCUUUCUCUCCUUUGCCACUCAGCUCUGGAAAUGUGGAGAGGCU
rnacentral:lncRNA from 1 species